AGUGAACGCUGGCGGCAGGCCUAACACAUGCAAGUCGAGCGGCAGCGCGUCCGACCACCCUCGGGUGGUCGGAUGGCGGCGAGCGGCGGACGGGUGAGUAAUAUAUCGGAACGUGCCCAGUAGUGGGGGAUAGCCCGGCGAAAGCCGGAUUAAUACCGCAUGAGACCUGAGGGUGAAAGCGGGGGAUCGCAAGACCUCGCGCUAUUGGAGCGGCCGAUAUCAGAUUAGCUAGUUGGUGGGGUAAAGGCCUACCAAGGCAACGAUCUGUAGUUGGUCUGAGAGGACGACCAGCCACACUGGAACUGAGACACGGUCCAGACUCCUACGGGAGGCAGCAGUGGGGAAUUUUGGACAAUGGGCGCAAGCCUGAUCCAGCAAUGCCGCGUGCAGGAUGAAGGC
rnacentral:rRNA from 1 species